UACGUAGGUGGCAAGCGUUGUCCGGAUUUACUGGGCGUAAAGAGCGCGUAGGCGGUCGUUCAAGUCGCGUGUGAAAGCCCCCGGCUCAACUGGGGAGGGUCACGCGAUACUGAUCGACUCGAAGGCAGGAGAGGGUAGUGGAAUUCCCGGUGUAGUGGUGAAAUGCGUAGAGAUCGGGAGGAACACCGGUGGCGAAGGCGGGUCUCUGGGCAAUUCCUGACGCUGAGGCGCGAAAGCGUGGGGAGCAAACGGG
rnacentral:rRNA from 1 species